GGGCGCGCCACCCUUGACCCCGGUGCUUUGCACGCUGUGCGGCCGGCUGCUGGACCGAGGGCGGUGCGGGCGCUCCGGCUUCUGGCUGCGGGCCGUGGGGGGUCCCGCGGGGUUCAGGCGGCUCUGGGGCCCGAGUGGGUGCGGGGCUGGGUUCGUGCGGUUAAAAACCACGUAAGGUGGGCGGAGUGACCGUGCGGACGCCGCUGCUGCGCGGACGGAGCUCGGCCGGGUUCCGAGACUAGACGGGGGACAGUGCGACCGUCACGAACUGGGAGCGAACAUCAGGGUAGAAGACAGGAUGCGGAGGGGGAAGCGCCUCCGAGGAGGUGACACUGCGGCUGAGACCCGAGGGGGAGGGGGCGCCCGGCAGAGGGAAUAGCCGCGCUACGGCGUUGCAAGAAGGGAGGGGAGGCUAGCGUGGCGGCUCGCAGGCCAGGCUACGAAGGUGGAGUUGAGCGGUGGUGGGGCGACGUGGAGGAUGUGCAACAUCCGGAGCCGAGGCUUCACUCUGGCCGGUGAACAGCGCAGGCAGGGAGGCAGUCAGACUCCUGGCAAAGCAGUGGCCCGGGCCCAGGCAGGAGGCUGGGAGAAUAAAACCCGGCACCAAAGAGGCCAGCGCUUUCGGGUUUUGUUCCCCACGGGGCCGCCAGCGUUCCCCCACCCAUGUCCGGCAAGCGGUUGUUACUGCAUGACCCUUGGUGGGAGCAAGGAAGGUGCACCCCGCCCCGGACGUUGUCCGAACAGGGUCGGGGGCCACCUGCUGGCAUGUGGCGCUGCUCUCCAUUUGGAAACGUACCCUUGUCAAGACAGAAUAUUCCCUCUGCCUUCAUUCUCUGUCGGCCUCUGCAGUGCUUGCCCUUGGAGGCUGGUGACCGGGGACACGGAGAGGGUUUAGUGGUAGUCUGGAUGGUGCUGGAGGUCACAGUGCGCCAUCCGGGAGCCUCAAGUAGGCAUCGCAUCCCCAAGAAAGGACUCCUAGCUACCGCUGAGAGUCCCUGCACCAAGGACAGGGGUGGCCUGGCCAGGUAGAACAGAAGAGUUUGGGUGGAGUCAGGGAGGCGGUGAUGGCUCGGUGGCCUUGAGGGAGGCAUUAGAAGAGGAGGCCUGGGUCUCUCUGUGGAGGUGAGAGCCUGCAGCCCCUGCAGGAGCCCAGGAAGAGGCACUGGCUGGUCCUUCUCGGUGGCCAGGCUGGGCCUUAAAGGGUCAGACAGCCAGCGAGGGUCUGGAGUUGUGGGGAGCCUCUCUGGCUGCAGGCUUGUGCCUCUAAGGUGUGGGUUGUCGGGUCCUGAGACCUCUCCCAUCUCCCUGCCAGCAGGUGACUCUGGACUCUCCUGGGGGUGGCUGAGGAGUGAGCUGGGGGCUUGUGCUGGUUUUCAUGCCCAGAGCCCCAUGUUCAUUUCUGCCCCAGGGAAGUCAAGGAUAGCGUGCCUGAGCCGGGGCGGUCACAGCUGGGCGCGGAGCAGUGGAGCUCGUACGCUGCAUCGUUGGCAGACCUGUGGGCCGUGUCGCAGUGUCGACUGGGGCCAAGAUGGCUUGGCCCUGCUCCCAGGACCUACGUUGUGCCAUCCACAGCCAGCUGACUUGGGACUUCUCCAACCCUGCAGGCGUCUGAUGCCAGCAUCUGUGUGGUGUAGGCUGGGCCCCAGGAGCGGGGCCUGGGCAGCCCUGUGUGUUGAGGAAGGAAGGCAGGGCCCCCGCUCCCCGGGCCCGACCCCGUAGCUUCAGCUCCUCGUGCCUGUUUGAGGACAACACCAAGUGGGCCUAUCAGGUGGGGAUGGGACUCCAGGGCCCAGCGCCCUGCUUCCUGGUGCUCUCCUGGGCGGGCUGCCGGGGUCGAGACCUCUGCCUUGUCGCGCCUUCUCAGGCAGCCUCUCAACCUACCUUCCCUGAGCCCCCUCGUGCAGGGACCCCAGGGGCUUUGCUGUCCUUUGGGAAAGGGAGAUAGGCUUCAGGGACUCGAACCUCCCAGGGUUUGGAGGUGGACCUGAGCCGGGGUUCAAGGAAGGCACCUCGUGUCUGCAGAGUGGGAUAUCACACGUGGCCCGCUUGCCUCAGCUGAGGGGUGGAGUGAGCAGCCUAAUCCUGACUUUGGUUUUGGGGGGAACUCUUAGAACCUCUGUGGCCACCUCUUUGCUGCAGGAGCCCCUCUGUGUCCAGAUAGAGCCCAAGCUGUCUACCCAGGAACGUCCCUUGGUGUGCAGGUAAGGGCCACAGGGUCUGGGUGAGCGCAGGUGGCCCUCCCUUCUCACUGACCAGUCUGUGUGGGAACGGCGGCGGGGGGGGGGGGGGGUGGUCUCAGAGGACCUGGCUGGCCUACACCGUCGGUGUCGUGCUGGUUCCCAGAAGCGAGCCGAACAGCAGCUGGCAUGGGGUGUCCUGCAGAUGCCAUCGCCAAAUCUGUUGCCCAGGCUGGUUGUCUAGCCCCGGGCUGGCCUCGGAAACCUCCCCCCUCACCUCCAGGUUCUGGCACUGUGGGUGUCCGGGCUGACUGCUCUGGGGCACUGGGACGUUGCUGUCUCUGUGGUCAAGGGACUGACUGACUUCAGCCCAGGCUCACGUGGGUCCAGGCUGGACCGGACGGGCUGGCUCCUCUCCCACCUGCGAUGUGUGGUCAUCCCCAGGCAGCUUGCGGCCACCCUUGGACCAGCCUUCCGGCCUUCCUUCCAGCUGCUGGCCUUGGCUCACUCCUUCUUCUGCCCUGGUCCUGUCAGCUGCUUUGUGAGACAGGGCUGAAGGUCCCUGAGACUGAGGUGACCUUCGCUCCUCCUGGAGUCCUGGAUUGAAGAUCUGGAUUGGCGUUUGCCCAGCAAAAAAACCUGUCCAGUUUGUUUUUCUGUGUCCCUGCGACCAUAGGGUCAGGGACACCAUGGGGGGCAGGGGCUGGGCCCUAGGGUAGGGUCACUUCUGCUAGCCUGUGGGUCUUCCUAAGUGAGGUGGGGUCUCGCCAGCUCAAGUGGACCACGAAGGCACACUUGUGGACCCCUUGAGGAUGCGAACCUGCACACUGCAGUCGUGGUGGAGACUGGGAUCGUAUCCUGGGACCUGGCUCUUAUCUGGGGUACCCAGCUAAAUAAAGGACCCUGUGUCCCGGCUCCCUCUCCCUGGAGCAGCCAUGUGCCUGCGUUCUGUGCAACAACGUGGACACAGAAGCACAUGACAUCCGGGAGCUGUGUCCUCCUCCCGUCCCCCUGCUGCUUCUGUCUGGAGCCUCAGGGUGACCUUGAGCCCAAGAGCAGAGCUUGAGGGAGGCCUGCACCUGGACAGAGCAGGCAGAUGGAGGCUGGCUUCCUGAGGCCUUGUCGGCGACAACACCCAGACCACUGUCUCUGGACUUUGUACUUGACCGAGAAAUAAACGCCUGUCUGGUUUCAAA